rnacentral:misc_RNA from 1 species
CCUGAGGAGGACCAGAGCCUGCUCCUGUCCCAGUUCCGGGAGUACCUGGACUACGACGACACCCGCUACCACACCAUGCAGGCAGCCGUGGAUGCCGUGGCCCGGGUCACUGGCCAGCACCCCGAGGUGCCCCCCGCCUUUUGGAACAAUGCCUUCACGCUGCUGUCUGCCGUGAGCCUGCCCCGCCGGGAGCCCACCGUCUCCAGCUUCUAUGUGAAGCGGGCGGAGCUGUGGGACACCUGGAAGGUUGCUCACCUGAAGGAGCACAGGAGGGUUUUCCAGGCCAUGUGGCUCAGCUUCCUCAAGCACAAGCUGCCCCUCAGCCUCUACAAGAAGGUGCUGCUGAUUGUGCAUGACGCCAUCCUGCCGCAGCUGGCGCAGCCCACGCUCAUGAUCGACUUCCUCACCCGCGCCUGCGACCUCGGGAGUACCCUGACUUCUACCGGAAGCUCUACGGCCUCUUGGACCCCUCUGUCUUUCACGUCAAGUACCGCGCCCGCUUCUUCCACCUGGCUGACCUCUUCCUGUCCUCCUCCCACCUCCCCGCCUACCUGGUGGCCGCCUUCGCCAAGCGGCUGGCCCGCCUGGCCCUGACGGCUCCCCCUGAGGCCCUGCUCAUGGUCCUGCCUUUCAUCUGUAACCUGCUGCGCCGGCACCCUGCCUGCCGGG